rnacentral:rRNA from 1 species
CCUACGGGUGGCAGCAGUAGGGAAUCUUCCACAAUGGACGAAAGUCUGAUGGAGCAACGCCGCGUGAGUGCAGAAGGGUUUCGGCUCGUAACGCUCUGUUGGUAGUGAAGAAAGAUAGAGGUAGUAACUGGCCUUUAUUUGACGGUACUUACUUAGAAAGUCACAGCUAACUACGUGCCAGCAGCCGCGGUAAUACGUAGGUGGCAAGCUUGGUCCGUAUUUAUUGGGCGUAACGCGAGUGCCGGCGGGUCAAUAAGUCUGAUGUGAAAGCCUUCGGCUAAACCGGAGAAGUGCAUCAGAAACUGUUGAACUUGAGUGCAGAAGAGGAGAGUGGAACUCCAUGUGUAGCGGUGGAAUGCGUAGAUAUAUGGAAGAACACCAGUGGCGAAGGCGGCUCUCUGGUCUGCAACUGACGCUGAGGCUCGAAAGCAUGGGUAGCGAACAGGAUUAGAUACCCCGGUAGUC